UUGGCGGUGCUUAAUAACCCCCUAGAGGAGCCUGUUCUAGAACCGAUACCCCUCGUUAAACCUCACCCUUUCUAGCUUAUUCCGCCUGUAUACCGCCGUCGCCAGCUUACCCUGUGAAGGUUUCAUAGUAAGCAUAAUUAGUAAAACCCAAAACGUCAGGUCGAGGUGCAGCACACGAAAGGGAAAGAAAUGGGCUACAUUACCUGUUUACAGGUUAAUACGAAAAGUGUACUGAAAA
rnacentral:rRNA from 1 species